UACGUAGGGAGCAAGCGUUGUCCGGAAUCAUUGGGCGUAAAGCGCGCGUAGGUGGCCUCAUAAGUCCGCUGUGAAAGUCAAAAGGCUCAACCUUUGAAAGCCGGUGGAUACUGUGAGGCUAGAGUACGGAAGAGGCGAGUGGAAUUCCUGGUGUAGCGGCGGAAUGCGCAGAUAUCAGGAGGAACACCAAUAGCGAAGGCAGCUCGCUGGGACGUUACUGACACUGAGGCGCGAAAGCGUGGGGAGCGAACAGG
rnacentral:rRNA from 1 species